rnacentral:lncRNA from 1 species
GCAACAUCUUGUGUUGCUUUUCCAUCUUAACUGUGUUGCCUGCCAUCCCAGCUUCUAUCCCAUGUUCUAGAUUUUCUAUUUUUUCCGCUAUGCAAUGGCGACAAAUCGCCUUUCCUCGCUGCCGCAGCCCUGAGUUGAUUUAGAGUAAUAUCUUCCUCAUCUUCUUCAUAAACAUCUCUGCCUAAAUUUAUAGGUACGAUAGCACUGGUAUUGUUCCCGUAUAACACAACCGGGCUACCCUUAUUGUACUAAUCCUAUCAAUGCAUAAUAUAACCUCACUAGCAAGCAUGCAAAAAGAAAGAACUUGCUAAGACUAAAUGUAAAGUGAUCAUCACAAAAUUUAUAGCAUUCUUUGUGAUGAUAUUACAGAUGAUAAUACUUAAAAAAUGGUAAAAUAAUACAAUGUAACAAAUUGACUCAUUGGUGGUUUCCUAAGGACAACAUCUUGUGUUGCUUUUCCAUCGUAACUGUGUUGCAUGCCAUCCCAGCUUCUAUCCAUUGUUCCAGAUUUCCUAUUUUUUCCGCUAUGCAAUGGCGACAAAUCGCCUUUCCUCGCUGCCGCUGCCCGAAGUUGAUUUAGAGUAAUAUCUUCCUCAUCUUCUUCAUAAACAUCUCUGCCUAAAUUUAUAGGUUUUGGAAUUUCUUGAGGAAAAUCUUGUGAUACCAAAGUGUUAUAUUCUUUAGUGACCAAGACUGCGUUUCUUUGAUUUUUGUUAUGGGUGUUGGUCAUUCUUCCAGUGCUAGCAACAUUAGGUGCACUUAAAUUUUUGAAAGGUGUGG